AACGAACGCUGGCGGCAUGCCUAACACAUGCAAGUCGAACGAGACCUUCGGGUCUAGUGGCGCACGGGUGCGUAACGCGUGGGAACCUGCCUUUAGGUUCGGAAUAACUCAGAGAAAUUUGAGCUAAUACCGGAUAAUGUCUUCGGACCAAAGAUUUAUCGCCUUUAGAUGGGCCCGCGUUGGAUUAGCUAGUUGGUGGGGUAAAGGCCUACCAAGGCGACGAUCCAUAGCUGGUCUGAGAGGAUGAUCAGCCACACUGGGACUGAGACACGGCCCAGACUCCUACGGGAGGCAGCAGUGGGGGAAUAAUUGGACAAUAGGGCGAAAGCCUGAUCCAGCAAUGCCGCGUGAGUGAUGAAGGCCUCGGGUUUGGUUAAAGGAGUUACCUUUUAACUUUCCGGGUACCGG
rnacentral:rRNA from 1 species